rnacentral:ncRNA from 1 species
ACUUUGGAGAAGCUGCAGAACGGGCAACCACCGUUUUUUGCAGUGCCGAAGGUGAAAGCGCACGGCGCGAAUCUCUCAGGCAAAAGGACAAAGUG